CACUGUUGGAGCUUUUCAAAGAGGAGCAGCUUCAGUCUCUGAGAAUGUUACUCAGCCGGUUUGUUGUCUCCCUGUGGACGAGUGGAAGAUGAAUCCGGAAAUGAAGGAGGCCUGAGUUCAGUAUCUGUUUCUCCUGGAGUCGGGGCAGGUUUGGACUGAGGCUUUGAUCUGGUUCAUCAGAUAAGAGACGAUACAAAGAGACGUUGUAUUAAUACUCCAGCUCAAAGAGGAAUCGUGACAACUGAGUUCAACUGUGACCGACCGUGGGAAGAGAUAAGGUCAGCUGACGAUGGGUGGCUCCUCCUCCAAAACAACCUUUGUCUGGAAAAAGAAGAAGAAAUCACCUCUGGAAAAAGCCUGGAGCGACCUGAAGGGGGCGCUGCCCGAUAAGAAACGCAAAAAGAAGAGUUCUCGGUCCCUAAACAAACUGAACUUGGAUAACCUGAGGAAGGGGAAGUCUUCCCAGAGGAGAUUCUCGCUGCCAACAGACAAGAAAGAGCCGAAGCAAAGGUUUUCUCUGGGUAACAUGAGUAAGACGCCGACGAAGAAGGAGAAGGAGAGGAACGGAGGAGGGCUGGGGAAAGUAGGAGAGCAGAUAAAAAGGGCAUUUUCUCAGGAACAAAAGAAAGAGCUCAGGACUCGUCAAGAUGUUUCUCCCUCUGUGAAGUUAAAGACAGAGGAGAGGAAAGAGGCAAACGUUCAGAAAAGUGGCACGAAAGCGUCUAAAAUAAACUUCAAGUUUCCACGAGAUCCAUUCAUUUGACAGGAAUCAACGCAAAAGGACAAUUUCAGACGAAGAGACUCGUGACUUUUGUUUUGGAGAUGAAAGAAAAGACGACAGGAGACAUUCAAGGUUUUUUAAUGACGUCACUGUCGGGUUGUCUCGGUGCAGCGUGAGACUACAGACUGUAAAUAAAGAUGGACGACAUGACGGAUUCCUCAAAAGUGAAUCUUGAUCGCCCCCUUGUGGCUGGUUGCAGUAUCCGUCACCAACCCUUUCUCCUCCAUGUUAGUGGGUGAUCGGUUGACCAUUUAAAAUAAACGGGAUUAAACAUU